rnacentral:rRNA from 1 species
UACGUAGGGUGCAAGCGUUGUCCGGAAUUAUUGGGCGUAAAGAGCUCGUAGGCGGUUUGUCGCGUCUGCUGUGAAAACUCGAGGCUCAACCUCGAGACGCCGGUGGAAACCGUAAAGCUAGAGUCCGGAAGAGGAGAGUGGAAUUCCUGGUGUAGCGGUGAAAUGCGCAGAUAUCAGGAAGAACACCCGUGGCGAAGGCGGCUCUCUGGGACGGUACUGACGCUGAGACGCGAAAGCGUGGGGAGCGAACAGG